rnacentral:misc_RNA from 1 species
AACUUUCGGCUAUGGAUCACUUGGCUCUCGCAUCGAUGAAGAACGCAGCGAAAUGCGAUAAGUAAUGUGAAUUGCAGAAUUCAGUGAAUCAUCGAAUCUUUGAACGCACCUUGCGCCCUUUGGCUAUUCUGAAGGGCAUGCCUGUUUGAGUAUCAUGAACACCUCAACUCUCAUGGUCCGCCAUGAUGAGCUUGGACUUUGGGGGUCUUGCCGGCCCAGUGUCGGCUCCUCUCAAAUGGAUCAGCUUGCCAGUGUUUGGUGGCGUCACAGGUGUGAUAACUAUCUACGCUUGUGGUUUUCUGCCAUAUAACCUUCAGUGAUGGAGGUUCUCUGGAGCUCACAGAUGUCUCUCCUUGGGGAGGACAGCUUUUGAACGUUUGAUCUCAAAUCAGGUAGGACUACCCGCUGAACUUAAGCAUAUCAAUAAGCGGAGGCU